AGAGUUUGAUCCUGGCUCAGGAUGAACGCUAGCGGCAGGCUUAAUACAUGCAAGUCGAGGGGCAGCGCGGGUAGCAAUACCUGGCGGCGACCGGCGCACGGGUGCGUAACACGUAUGUGACCUACCUUAAACUGAGGGAUAGCCCCUCGAAAGAGGGAUUAAUACCUCAUAACACUGCGGAGAGGCAUCUUUUUGCAGUUAAAGUUCCGACGGUUUAAGAUGGGCAUGCGCGACAUUAGCUAGUUGGUGAGGUAAUGGCUCACCAAGGCUGUGAUGUCUAGGGGUUCUGAGAGGAAAAUCCCCCACACUGGUACUGAGACACGGACCAGACUCCUACGGGAGGCAGCAGUAAGGAAUAUUGGUCAAUGGGCGCAAGCCUGAACCAGCCAUGCCGCGUGCAGGAUGACGGCCCUAUGGGUUGUAAACUGCUUUUGUACGGGAAAAAACCCUCCGACGUGUCGGAGGCUGAUGGUACCGUAAGAAUAAGGAUCGGCUAACUCCGUGCCAGCAGCCGCGGUAAUACGGAGGAUCCUAGCGUUAUCCGGAUUUAUUGGGUUUAAAGGGUGCGCAGGCGGAAUUAUAAGUCAGUGGUGAAAUCCUGCAGCUUAACUGCAGAACUGCCAUUGAUACUGUUAUUCUUGAGUAUAUUUGAAGUGGGCGGAAUGUGUCAUGUAGCGGUGAAAUGCUUAGAUAUGACACAGAACACCAAUUGCGAAGGCAGCUCACUAAGCUAUAACUGACGCUCAUGCACGAAAGCGUGGGGAUCAAACAGGAUUAGAUACCCUGGUAGUCCACGCCGUAAACGAUGAUUACUCGAUGUUGGCGAUAUACCGUCAGCGUCUAAGCGAAAGCAAUAAGUAAUCCACCUGGGGAGUACGAUCGCAAGGUUGAAACUCAAAGGAAUUGACGG
rnacentral:rRNA from 1 species